GAUGUUCUAUACUUGGAGGUUUUCCUCAUUAGAGUGGUUUGCUUCAAUUUAAUCUGCUGGUAUAUUAUUUUUACCACUUCUUAGAUAUCUAAGGUUGUGCUCAUCAAAGUGGUUGGCUUGAGCUGUAUCUGCAGGGUAUCUCACUGCUACUUCUCAUACAUCUGAGGUUUUGCUUAUUGUAGUGGUUGGCUUCGGCUGAGCCUCCAUGUGUCUUACUGUUACCACUUAGGUAUUGG
rnacentral:misc_RNA from 1 species